ACAGAGUCAGUCAGCACCAGGUAGAUGCUUUUUUCUGUUCCCCAAAGAAACAUCCCAGGGCACUAGGGCCACGUUGACCUGUUAGGGUGAUGCAGCUGCUCUGGGACACAGAG
rnacentral:snoRNA from 1 species